AUGCGAGUGUGUUUGUGUGUGUCUGUGUGUUUAUGUCUGUGUUUGUGUUUAUGUGUGUGUGUAUGUGUCUGUGUGUGUGUUUAUGUGUGUGUCUGUCUCUGUUUGUGUGUGUGUCUGUGUGUUUAUGUGUGUGUUUGCACACCCCUACAAGCUGUGUGUGUGUGUGUGUGUGUGUGUGUGUGUGUGUGUGUGUGUGUGUGUGUGUGUGUGUGUGUGUGUGUGUGUGUGUGUGUGUGUGUGUGUGUGUGUGUGUGUGUGUGUGUGUGUGUGUGUGUGUGUGUGUGUGUGUGUGUGUGUGUGUGUGUGUGUGUGUGUGUGUGUGUGUGUGUGUGUGUGUGUGUGUGUGUGUGUGUGUGUGUGUGUGUGUGUGUGUGUGUGUGUGUGUGUGUGUGUGUGUGUGUGUGUGUGUGUGUGUGUGUGUGUGUGUGUGUGUGUGUGUGUGUGUGUGUGUGUGUGUGUGUGUGUGUGUGUGUGUGUGUGUGUGUGUGUGUGUGUGUGUGUGUGUGUGUGUGUGUGUGUGUGUGUGUGUGUGUGUGUGUGUGUGUGUGUGUGUGUGUGUGUGUGUGUGUGUGUGUGUGUGUGUGUGUGUGUGUGUGUGUGUGUGUGUGUGUGUGUGUGUGUGUGUGUGUGUGUGUGUGUGUGUGUGUGUGUGUGUGUGUGUGUGUGUGUGUGUGUGUGUGUGUGUGUGUGUGUGUGUGUGUGUGUGUGUGUGUGUGUGUGUGUGUGUGUGUGUGUGUGUGUGUGUGUGUGUGUGUGUGUGUGUGUGUGUGUGUGUGUGUGUGUGUGUGUGUGUGUGUGUGUGUGUGUGUGUGUGUGUGUGUGUGUGUGUGUGUGUGUGUGUGUGUGUGUGUGUGUGUGUGUGUGUGUGUGUGUGUGUGUGUGUGUGUGUGUGUGUGUGUGUGUGUGUGUGUGUGUGUGUGCACAGCUCCAGUGUCACUGCCAGGGGUGUCACAAGGGUGUCUGUGCAUCUGUGCAUGUGUGCAUUUCUGUGUCUGUGUGUGCUUCUCUGUAUGUCUGUGUGUCUGUCUGUGUGUCUGUCCAUGUGUCUCUGUGUGUGUCCGUGUGUCUGUGUGUGUCUAUGUGUGUCCGGGUGUCCACGUGUCCUUCUCUGUGUCUGUGUGUGUCUGUCUGUGUGUCCAUCUGUUUGUGUCUCUGUGUGUCUAUGUGUUUGUCUGUAUGUCUGUGCCUGUCCCUGUCUGUGUGUCUGUGUGUCUGUCCGUCUCUGUCCGUGUCUGUCUCUGUGUCUGUGUGUGUCCAUCUGUGUGUGUCUGUGUGUCCAUGUGUCUGUGUGUCCGUGUCUCUGUCUCUGUCUCUGUCUUUGUGUCCGUGUGUGUCCGUGUGCAUGUGUGUGUCUGUCUCCGUCUGUGUGUCCGUGUGUCUGUGUGUGCUCACACCCCUCCACAGUGUCCGUGUCCCCCCUUCCCGUGUCCCUGCACCUGCCGUUGUCCCAGCUCACCCGGUCCCUGGGCUCCCGGUGCCGUGUCUCCCCCUCCCUCCUCCCCCAGCUGCAGCAGUGGGAUCGAUGGCAGUGCUGGCAGCCCCAGCGGGACCCCACAAGGUGCCAGACACCCACGGGCUCCUCCCUGCCCCUGUCCCCCUGGUCUGGGGGACACCAGUGACAUCCUGACACAGCUCCACACUGGGGCUGAGCUCAGGGUGCAGCUGGGGCAGGGGGUGCUCAAUGGGGAGCCAGGACCCCACUCUGGCCGCUGUCAGGACAUGUCCUUGCCUGUCCCCCAACACCCCAAACAUCUGAUCAGGAGCCACCUUGGAGCUCUUUGGGAUGAGCAUCCUCAAAGGAUGAAUUUUGGGGGUGCCUGGAGGGUAGAGAGGCCCACCAGGAGCACAGGGAGAAGCUCUGCCCAGGCAGGGACACUGGCCAUGGAAAAGCUCAGACUGACAGGCCAAAAUCCCACAAAACUCCCCCAAAACACCUUGAAGAUGUCACUGGUGUGA
ensembl:lncRNA